UACGAAGGGUGCAAACGUUGCUCGGAAUUAUUGGGCGUAAAGCGCACGUAGGCGGCUUAGCAAGUCGGAAGUGAAAUCCCUCGGCUCAACCAAGGAAGUGCUUUCGAAACUGCUGAGCUUGAGUACUUAAGAGGAUCGCGGAAUUCCCGGUGUAGAGGUGAAAUGCGUAGAGAUCCGGAGGAACACCAGUGGCGAAGGCGACACACUGGGCCGUACCUGACACUAAGACGCGACAGCAUGGGGAGCGAACAGG
rnacentral:rRNA from 1 species